AUACGGGAGGCAGCAGUGGGGAAUUUUGGACAAUGGGGGCAACCCUGAUCCAGCCAUUCCGCGUGAGUGAAGAAGGCCUUCGGGUUGUAAAGCUCUUUCGGCAGGAACGAAACGGCGACUACUAAUACUAGUUGCUAAUGACGGUACCUGAAGAAGAAGCACCGGCUAACUACGUGCCAGCAGCCGCGGUAAUACGUAGGGUGCGAGCGUUAAUCGGAAUUACUGGGCGUAAAGCGUGCGCAGGCGGUUUCGUAAGACAGCUGUGAAAUCCCCGGGCUUAACCUGGGAACUGCGGUUGUGACUGCGAGACUAGAGUCAGGCAGAGGGGGGUGGAAUUCCACGUGUAGCAGUGAAAUGCGUAGAGAUGUGGAGGAACACCGAUGGCGAAGGCAGCCCCCUGGGCUAUGACUGACGCUCAUGCACGAAAGCGUGGGGAGCAAACAGGAUUAGAUACCCCUGUAGUCCU
rnacentral:rRNA from 1 species